ACAGCCUUUUAUAUUUUUUCAAAGAAAGUUUGAGUAUUUUUAACCAAAAGAUAUAUGACCGUAAACUAGUUAUUUCAAUAUUCUUCGUAUUUCAUAGUAUUCCACUUUCAUUGUAGAAUAACUUCUCGCAGUGCGUCGAAGAACAAUUAAGGGUAUUUGAUUAGCAGAAAGUGUGUGAACACUGGCAGUCUCAAAUAUUUGACUAUUUCUUGGCAGACAAAAGGGAAUGUUGCCGCCGCCGCUGACAAAAAUGCCUUGAAAACUAACACCAGAAAUAGGUCAGCGACUCAUGAAAACUAAUAAAAAUCAAAACCAAAUCAAAUUAAAUAAACAGCUAAACAACAAACAGUACAAGCCAAGCCAGAGCAGAGCUGAAAAAACAGGAAAAUAGAAUGCGAAUGGCAACAAUAAAGCAGGGCAAUUACAGCAACAACAAGCAGACGAUAAAAGCGGAGAAAGGACCUCGAGAUGAGGCGAAAAUUUAAGGCAGCCGAGGGCCUAAGAUAAAUUUUCCAAGGCAGACACAAUGAGAAUGACGGCAACACGAGGAAAAGUCAAAGGCUCGGGCUGAAAAGGAAAGCCGAAGGAAUGGAAAAAAGUAGCGGAAGGAAAUGCCAUUAUGACGUAAAUGUGCUAAAAUAAAACAACAUGGCGGACAGGACAACCCGAGCAACAACAACAACGAGAGCAAAGCGUGUCGAAAGCUAUAAGUGUGUGUGAGCCUGUGUGCUUGUCUGUGUGUGUGCGUAUUUUGUGGGGCUAAUGUCAAAGUCAAUCUUAGGAAAAACGCGUAGCGCAUAAACAUACAACAAAAGUGGAGAGUACAACGGCAAAAGGCAGUAGCAGUUAACCAAAAAAAUAAAGGCAAGAAGGAAAAGCCAGAAGGAAAGCAGCAAAAGCAACCCCCAAUUUUGAACGCGGGGGGCUUUCGCCGGAAAAACCCAACGCAAGCCGGAACCCCUCAAACGACAACUCGAUUUUUCUUCUGGCACAAGAAAAAUUGCCGAAAUUAAAGCAAAAAGAAAAACAAUUUUCUCUGCUC
ensembl:ncRNA lncRNA:CR43893 long non-coding RNA:CR43893